GCCGGGGUGGCGAAACUGGUAGACGCGCCAGACUCAAAAUCUGGUUGUAGCAAUACAGUGUCGGUUCGAGUCCGACCCUCGGUACCA
rnacentral:tRNA from 1 species